rnacentral:rRNA from 1 species
UCCCUAUCUGUUGUGGGCGCAGGAAUAUUGAGGGGAGCUGAUUCUAGUACGAGAGGACCGAAUUGGACGUACCGCUAGUGUACCGGUUGUGGCGCCAGCUGCACCGCCGGGUAGCUAUGUACGGCAUGGAUAAGCGCUGAAAGCAUCUAAGCGCGAAGCCAUCCCCAAGAUGAGUAUUCCAGCACGUAAGUGUAAAGGACCCUGGAAGACGACCAGGUUGAUAGGUUAUAGGUGGAAGUGCAGUAAUGUGCGUAGCCGAGUAAUACUAAUUGUCCGACAGCUUCCUUUUU